UUAUAAAAUUAAAUAUGUAAUGUGUUUUCGUGUUAAAAAAAAUAGUACCUAUUGCCAGUACUUUAUAUAUCUCAUAUGAAGUUAAUACUUUUCAGAAAGCUGAUUCUCAAAUACGCGUCGAAAAACAAAAACCAGUUGGGCUGAAUCUUCAAAGAACCAAAAUUAAGAAAACACGAAAUAAUAUUUUUCAGACCAAAGAGUUACUGUAACGCCCCCCACAUUGCAUAGCCGCCAAAAGUGCAUUCCUGCAGCGUGCAUCGCCUCAACCUGAAUGAUGAAGAAUCUUCUAAAACCACGAGCAAUACCAAAGAGUUACUGUAACGCCCCCCACAUCGCAUAGCCGCCAAAAGUGCAUUCCUGCGCAGCGUGCAUCGCCUCAACCUGAAUGAUGAAGAAUCUUCUAAGGCCACUGACGGACAAUGUAAACUCAUGAAAUAUCACACCUACAACAAGUUAGAAAAGCAUAAUGAAGCACAAUCCAGAAAAAAGUUAAAAUGUCUAAUAAAUAACUAUUUAAUGCUCAAAAAAA